UGCAUUCCCAACCAUUGAUGUCAUCAACGGGGGUCCCCUGAUUUCUUCUGGGCGGUCACCAAACUGUGAUCGCUAAAGCUACGAGUUCCCACUCGUCUGAUUGGUCGAUAGGAGAGGGGGGGUAAUUUGUCUCAAGUCAUUUUUGGUGAACCUCCCAGUGAGAUGUGGUACUGUAGUACUAGAGUUCAAGGUGGGUCCCCAGGCCUUAUAACUCAGUUACACAUUGAACUUUGCACACUCUGACUCCCCCACUGGUGUAGUCUCACACCCAUCCAUUUCAUUCCAUUUAGUUUGCUAAGAGUUUCAUUGCAGGCCAAACACAAUGGGUUUGUUAACUCUUUCUCUUGCUCGCUCUCUCUCUCGCACUCUAAUCUCUCACCUGAUUUGCUGGGACUGUUAUGUUCUGCCUGAAACCAUUGCCUCGGCGUUCUAAUGAGAGCGGGGGUCUUCUAAACAGGGGUUGUCAUGGGGACGCCUUUCUGUGUGGGUUUGACUGCAUGUGCUGAUCCUCCAAUGUGAGGAGGGGAAGAAGAAAAAGAGGGAAGCAUGGACGCAAGGAGCGAGAGGCAGAAAUGGAGGGUGGAGACCUUUUUCAGACCAGCUCCCAGGAUGUCUUCAUGGCUGUGGUGGAGGUGGUACUGCCGCUUUUGGAAGAGGCGUGCCCUAGCCCUCGGCUGGAGCAAGGGGCGUGCCCUAGCCCUCGGCUGGAGCAAGGGGCGUGCCCUAGCCCUCGGCUGGAGCAAGGGGCGUGCCCUAGCCCUCGGCUGGAGCAAGGGGCGUGCCCUAGCCCUCGGCUGGAGCAAGGGGCGUGCCCUAGCCCUCGGCUGGAGCAAGGGGCGUGCCCUAGCCCUCGGCUGGAGCAAGGGGCGUGCCCUAGCCCUCGGCUGGAGCAAGGGGCGUGCCCUAGCCCUCGGCUGGAGCAAGGGGCGUGCCCUAGCCCUCGGCUGGAGCAAGGGGCGUGCCCUAGCCCUCGGCUGGAGCAAGGGGCGUGCCCUAGCCCUCGGCUGGAGCAAGGGGCGUGCCCUAGCCCUCGGCUG
rnacentral:lncRNA from 13 species